rnacentral:lncRNA from 1 species
GCUGAGAGAGGCUGCAGAAGCGCUCCCUGGGUUGCACAACGUGCAACUCUGGGCACGGCGGCGGCUGUGGUGUGGGGAGAGGGGCGCUUGCCCGGGAAUCCUUUGGCGGUGAUUGCUGGGCCCUUGAAGCGAAGCUGCUUUCCUAGGUUUAGAGUAGAGCGGCGGCGGAAGAUACCCCGAAGAAGGGGCAUGCUGCCCGGGGCUGCGGCAGAAGGAAGCGGGCAGCCGGUUACUGAGGAGCCAGCCGGAGUGCUCAGGUGGCACUGUUGAAACCAAGUUAAGAGUUGUCAGAAGUUAAUAGAAAAUAAAUGAUAACAGUGAAGAAACACGAUUAAGUACAGAAACCUGAAAACCCAUAGAGGCUGAAACUGAGACUUGAAUUUACUGACUUGCCCCGGAUAGAAAGCAAGCUGGAUUGGAGUCUUCUGACUCCAACUGGGACCCAUGAGAAACCUUAAGUGCUCUAUCAACUGAACCAUCUAACAAGAUAAACUUUUUUUGGGGAAGAGAAGAAAGGCAAUAAAAACAGGAAAGUUUCCUGUAGAAAGGGGUAUUUGACCAUCAUUUUGAAGACAAAGCAUCAUGAGAGGUAGAAGAAAAGAGGGAGCACAUUCCGGAUAUAGGGCAUAGGGAAAAGACAUGAAGGAAGGCUGGGUCUCAAUUGUACAGGAAGAACAGUAAUGUAUAAUAAGGUUUGAAAGGAAGACAGGACUUUAAAAAUCAACCAGCAAAGUUCGUAUUUCAUCCUGUUGUAUACAGACCUCUGUUCUGCUCUUGGAAUUUUUCCUGGAGAGUUGUCUGAUUAGUAAAUACUAUAUCAACUGUUCCUUGUCCCUUCUGAAGCCACACUGCUCUCAAGUAGAUGGUUUUUUUUCUAGGUAUGGAAUUAGUUUAUUAAGGAGUACUCUGGCAAGAAUUUUACCUGCAAUGACUGAGAGACUUCCCCCUCGCCUGUGAUUGUCACCGGACAAUUUAUUCCCUUUACCUUUGUAAAGAUAUACAAUGGAGGCAUCCUUGAACUCCUGGGCAUAACUUCUUGUCAUAUAAUCUGGGAAAUUUCAAUCAGUUUUUGUAUGAGCAAUGGACCCCUACCUUAUAAAUCUUACCUGGAAUAGAAUCAGCACCCGAUGCUUUACCACAUGAAAGUAGCCUAAUGGCAUUUAAAACCUCUUCUUCAACUGGAACUUCAUCUAGGGAGUGAUUAAUUUCAACUUAUAGUAAACAAUCAAUAGGUUCAGCAUUGAUGAUGUUCUGUCAGCCCAUCUCUCCAGGACCAUGUUCUUACACUAUUCAGUGGGGCACCAUCAGCACUGAGUAGUUGAGGUGCACUAUGCUUACUUAUGAGCCAUUUCAUCCUAGAGGCAUCUGGGAACCUUUGGAGUUUACUGAGCAGGGCAGUGACAUGAUCAGACAUAGGCUUUAUCAUUCUGGUGGCUGUAUGGAGGACUGCUGGAGAAAAGGAAAGAGAGAUACUUGGAGCAGGAAGACUGUCUAGGAGGUUAUUGCAAUAAUCUAAGCAAGAUAAUUCAAGGGUAUUGACUGUGUAUAGAUGUGAGAGAUGCUGUGGAAGUAGAAACAGACAAUAUUUAGCAAAUAAUAUUUGGGAUGAAUGAGAGUGAAGAAAGGAAGAUAACAUUCUUGAACCUGAAGGACUUCAAAAACAUUGUUGCCUAUUUCAAUAAAAAUAAGGAAAUAUGGAAGAAAGUGGGUUUGAGGAAAAGAUAAUAAUGGCUGAAGAGAAGUGUAGCAAGGUGAAGAUUGAAAAAAGACCAUCUGAUUUGGUAAUUAAAAGACCGCUGGUUUCUUUGGAAAGAGCAGUUUGAAAUUGAGCUAUAUCAGAAGUCAGAUGAAUUGCAAAGGGGUGAGGAAUGAAGGAAAGGAGAGGAAGUGGAGUCACCUGUCUCUAGGAAGUUGGAUGCUAAAGGGAACAGAGGAACACUUCAUCUCUAAAUUCAUUCCUCUUUAACUCUUCUGUCUCCUUCAUACCUCAAGCAACUUUGCUGCCCAUUCCUAUUGAGCCUGCUUUUCAAAAUAUCUCAAUUGUUUCUUCUUUUUAUCACUCCUGCAAACAGGUUCUCAUCAUCUUCCCUUAGCCACUGUUUAUACUUCCUGAAUGGAAUGAACUGAGUGAAGACUUCUCAUGAAAAUGUGACCUUAAACUAUGCCCUAAUUGUGACUUGAGACUUUGCAAUAACAAAUUGAGCUAUAACUAAAAAGUUGCAGGUGUUCAAAUAUCUUGGACAAACAGUUUCCCUCUUGUUUCCCCAUACACACAUACGUUUUAAUUAGCAUUUAAGUACUUAUUUUAAGGAUGAUGAUGGUUUUGGUAAUUCAGAUAACAGAAUUCUCUCAUCCAAGAACAUCUGCCUGUAUAGCAGUUCUUUAUGGAAAAUUAAAUUAAGAGUUUGUUAUUUACUAGUAUUCUUUAAUUUGUAGGAUAGAUUUCUCCAUUUAGAGUGUAAGCCUGGACUCCCCCAGUGGGGAGAGAGAGAUCAAGGGUGAUUGGAGUCUUCUGCAUUUAGGGUCUUUUAAUCCUGUGUUUUGCAGUUUGUGCUUUGUACUCCUCUACUGACACCUUGUGUGUUGGGAGUUGCUCUUUAUAGUGAGAUCAUAAUAAAUCUUUUUUUUUUUUUUUUUUUUUUUUUUUUUUUGCUUUUUUACCUUGAGAGCCUCUGAUUUUAAUUUGGGCAAGGGUCACUGUCCCACACAUUUCCCAAAGCCACAGUGGGACAGAAAUGUAACCCUUUUCACCCAUGCAUCCUUGUGAAAGGAGAAAUUUGCUCUCUUCCACCAUGAAAUGAAUCAGCAGCUAUAAAGAAACUCAUGAUAUAGUGACAGUAUUUCAGUUGUGUUAUUUAAUUAAAUUAAAUUUAAAAUUAAAUUAAAAACUGAAUUAAAUAACAGUUAACAUCAAGUGCUUAUUACAUAUAAAACAUACCUUGUACAAAAUACAAUUUUUUUCUUGCAGCGGCGAUUGGGGUUAAGUGACUUGCCCAAGGUCACACAGCUAGGCAGUAUUAAGUGUCUGAGGACAGAUCUGAACUCAAGUCCUCCUGAUUUCAGGGCUAAUACUCUAGCCACUACACCAACUAGCUUCCACUAAUAUUAAGAAUUUUAAAAUGAUAAUUCCUGCUCCCAAGGAAUAAACUGCUUAUAUUGCUUUGAUAGUGACCAUCAAUCUCUCAUUCCCCUCCUCCCCAAUCCCUUGUAGAUUUAAAUCUUUCAAUUCACACUUUAGGUAGUUCCUUUGGCCACAGAUUCAUUAUUUUUUGCAUUAUCUUGGGAAUGAUUCCUUCUAAACUUAACUAAGCCAUCCUCAGAUGAAUUUGUUGCUGGGAUCCUAUUUGAGACUCCUCCAGAUUGGUAUAGAUAUCAAUACCGUUCCACCAUGAGAUACCAGAAUAGAACAUGAGUGGAACAAAGGAUGCAUUAUGGGUUAAAUAAUAGCUUAUAAAAUUCAUUUUCCAUUUAUAAAAUGUGGUCUGAGUUCCAAAAAUAAAACACAGCUUUUUAGGAAGAACUCACCUAUAGAAGAAGUGAUCUUUCUUAACUAAAGG